rnacentral:rRNA from 1 species
AGCUGAUUUCACACUGUCAAGAAAAGUCUCUAUCGAGGUUAAAGGUACCCGUACCGCAAACCGACACAGGUGGGUGAGGAGAGUAUCCUAAGGCCAGCGAGAGAACUGUUGUUAAGGAACUCGGCAAAAUGACCCCGUAACUUAGGGAUAAGGGGUGCCACCAUCAGGUGGCCGCAGAGAAUAGGCCCAAGCGACUGUUUACCAAAAACAUAGGUUUCUGCUAAGUCGCAAGACGAUGUAUAGGAGCUGACGCCUGCCCGGUGCUGGAA